GGAGAGAUCUUGUCGGGGUCAACAUCAUCAUCUGGCAUCUCAAAGUAGGACGUCACAAAUUCAACAUCUUCCUCAAUAAUAGUGCUCUUAGGAUCUGGAUCGUACCAUACCUCUGUUGCUUGUGUUACACUCCGCAAGGUUGUAUACUCCAGAGCGCACUGGACAUUUUUGGCCUUCUCCUUAGUUUUGCUUACACCAGGCUUCAAGUAUACCGAGAGNAGGUAAUCUGUUUCUGCAUACACAGCAGCAUCAAGAAGAAUGUCCACUGUUCUCAAAGGAGCAUCUCAUCAUGGGGCCAGUAUCGUUGCGAUUGAUACCAUGACGGGUGAUGGCCAUCAAGUGACCACGAUAUGUCAUGGUAUCACACAAUAUAGCCAAAAUGUCUAUAGUUCACGUAAGACCCAUCAAAUGAUAUGACAACACGCAACUCAUCCAGCAAGGCUUUGCGAACUGCCUCAAUGCCAAGAACUUCAAUAACUUCAAUCAAAUGAUUGCUUGUUGUCCUACUUGCAUCUACAUCUUCAUGGCAAAUUACAGCUAAAAGAUUAACACCUUCGGUGUCAAGCAUCCACUCAUUCUCAGCCUUGAAGCCUUCAUUUUCAUCAAACUUAUUUACCUUGCCAUUCUUUAUGAACACCUUAUUGAUAUCUGGUAUGCCUCGAAGAGCCAUUUCUGUAAGCAUGUUACCCUCUAAUCUUUUUGUAGGAAGACAUCAUCCUCAGCAGAUUCAUCAUUCAACUCACCUUUAGGGGCUUCAUCAUUCAUAAUACGAAUACGAAGGAUAAGCUUUUCAGCAUUAUCAUCAUUAAAUAUGCACGUUAGAUCACUAUCAAAUUCAGCAUUAAUCUUAUGGGAAAUAUCAGCCAUGUUGAGUUUCUUAUCCACCAUCAUUUCUCUGUUUAACUCUAUGCGAAGCAACCACGGAGAGAUCUUGUCGGGGUCAACAUCAUCAUCUGGCAUCUCAAAGUAGGACGUCACAAAUUCAACAUCUUCCUCAAUAAUAGUGCUCUUAGGAUCUGGAUCGUACCAUACCUCUGUUGCUUGUGUUACACUCCGCAAGGUUGUAUACUCCAGAGCGCACUGGACAUUUUUGGCCUUCUCCUUAGUUUUGCUUACACCAGGCUUCAAGUAUACCGAGAGAGAGGGUGUUUUAAUUUUCUUAGCAACAUUAAUAAUCUCCCUCAACCUUGGAACACCUAAAGUUAACAAUUCUUGGCACUCACACCAGCAUAGUGAAAUGUAUUGAGGGUCAUCUGUGUAGCAGGUUCACCAAUGGAUUGUGCAGCAACACAUCCUAUCAUUUCACCAGCAGCAACAAGUGACUGAAGAAAACGGGAUUCUAUCUCGCCAACUACCCAGUCAAAAGCCUCACGGGUAAGUCUGUACUCCUUCAGGACCCUUUUACUUGCUAAAGCACUACGAAGCAAUAUAUUGAAGAAAAGAGUAGCAUUCUUCUGUGCUUCCAAACUCAGAUAAUCAUCACCAACAACCACCUUAAGCCUUUCUUGUAACUUAUCAACAGCUUCUACAAUCUCCAUUGGAUGCAUAUCAGACGGUCUCCGAAAAUCAACUCUAAAGGUCUUCUGUGCAUUCAAAACAAGCCUCUUGAUGUUGACAGGGAGGGGCCAAGAAUUGUCACCCGUGGUGGCAAUCUCUGUUCCAAGUUGAUACCUAUCGGCUUCAAGUUUCUGAACCUCUGCAUCAAACACACUGCGGAUUUCACGAAUCGUUUUCAGAUCUUCCACAGCUUCAGGUAACAUAUAAUUAGGAUUCCAGUUUGGGUGAUCAAUCUCAUAUUUGUACAUGUCAUUGAAAUCCGAUCUCUUCAACUUCAGUGAUUCCAAAGGCUGUGAUUCAAUCCAAACUGCAUCCAUACCAUCUUCCCCGUACAGAAACUGAAUCACAUCACCUAACGAAUUCCUAACAGUCCCAUCAUACUUAACCAUGAUAUCUUCCAUAGCCUUCACCAAUCGCCUCUGAAUAUAUCCAGUCUCAGAAGUUUUCACUGCAGUGUCAAUAAGACCUUCCCUACCACCCAUGGCAUGGAAAAAGAACUCUUGAGGAGACAAUCCUCGAAGAUAUGAGUUCUCCACAAAACCACGACUCUCUGGACCAUAAUCAUCUUUGGUGAAGUGUGGAAGUGUGCGAUCCACAAAACCAAAAGGAAUUCGCUUGCCUUCAACAUUCUGCUGACCCACACAUGCAGUCAUCUGAGAAAUAUUGAUGAAACUUCCCUUAGACCCUGCAGUGACCAUAGCUUUGAGGUUGUUACUUUCUGCCAAGCUCUUCUGAGCACUGCUUCCAGCAUCAUCACGAGCCUUAUUCAACACCUGAAGGCACAAAACAUAUAUAAGGGAAUCACCAGGCUGCAGCAAGGAAAUCAAAAUUUUUAACAAACCUGGUUAACUCUGUUCUCGAACGAUUCCAUCAUUGUUCUUCCUGGCUCAGCUUCCAAUUGCUUUUCUUGUGCAGCCCUGAUAAGUUCAUUCACCUCAUUCUUAGCUUUGUUAAUAGUUUCAGAGAUCUUCGUCAUUGUAUCAUGAUCAGCAAUUGUAUCUCCAAUUCCCAUGCUAAAAGCGUUCUGCAAAAGCCAAUAAUUGACCAGCCAUUGUGUAUGUCCCAAAAAUUUCCGAGCUGCAUCUGGACCGACUUCUUCCCUGAGACCAGUAUACAUUAUAUUAAACACAUAAAUAUGAAUAAAGAAUCUUUCGGGCUUUCAGUUCAUUAUUAUAAUAUUUAUUACUCCUUGUUUCAUGUGCCAUAUCAUAUGUUUUGAUGUCACAAAUGCUAUAAUAUUCACACAGAAGAGCUACUAGAGUGGAGGAAGACUGAUAUAUGCAAAAGCUAAAUUGUUAAAGAGUACAGAAAUUUUCAAUAAGAUACUCAUGUAGUUUUAAACUUCUGAAGAAAAUUAAUCUUCUCUUCUACAAAUUCCGAUGGAGUAAGCAAAGGAACACUUUCUUGAAAUGGCAUUAGUUUUAUUGAUAUCUAUAAUGAGUGCAAGCAUGGAGAUUGAUAAAGUGUUUUGUCUGCAAAGAAACAGUACCCAUUUUUUUGUGCCAAAAGGAGAAUCUUUUUGCUAGUGAAAAGAGAGGGUAUUUCAUUGGUAACUCAAGCAAGUUCUUUUGAAAGUAUUACUUCUUCAAUCAACAUAUUGCGAGUUCUGACUCAUUUGCGAGAUCCUAGAAUAUAUAAAUAAAAGACACCAACUUCAUUUAAAGUAUUUGCAUACAUAUGCUCCCAAUCCCCAUUGCCCAUAGAGCAAUGGACCAAUUUAAUACAACAUGAAUUCUUCAGAAGAUAAAAGUGAAAGUCAUGCUUUUGCUCUUAAAUUUAAGGUUGAACGAAAAAUGUGACCCGCAAACAGCCCCAUACCUCCAUUUUACCCAACUUUCCACUUAUUACAUUUUGCUACUAGAUACUUCAGGUAUGUUACCCGCAAUCAGCCCCAAUUCAUAAUAUGGAUAAGUUGGGUGGGCGUUUAGGAGACAAUAGUUUCCUUUCAAAACCCACCAAAUGCAGAAAUGGUACUGCAAAAAUUCCAGAAAGAACGUACCAAAUAACAUGUAUGAGACUUCCACUAGAUGACCCGAGUGUUUUCUUGCAUAGGGUGCCUGAAAGUAACUCCCCUUUUUCUAUCCGUACUUGAGUAUCCCCAGGAGUAAUAAAUCCUUUUUCAGUUUCUUGAUGCCAUGAAGAAUACCUUAAUAGAUUUAUCUGUCUUGGAAUGAUUAAAUUAAAUACUUGUUUCCCAGUCCAAAGAGGCUUAGGUUUCAGAAUUGUUGGAGCAGGUACUUUGCCAUCAAAAUCCUCCCACCACAUAAGGAUGUUCAUAAAAACAUCCUGCGAACAAUACAGACAGCGAUAUCAGAUUGAAUGUGGACACUUACCUAAAAAUUACAUAAUGAUGACAGAAAAUCAAAUGUUACCUUGUCAAUAAAAGUAUCUCUCUUAGUGAUUUUGCGACAUCCUAGUAGUGUAUCCUGCACAAUACCCAUUACAGGUCGAUUUGAUUGAGGUGACACGAUGCAUUUUGGAACCAUCAUUAAUUCCAGAACUUCGGCUCUAGUUUCAAAUGACUGGGGCACGUGCAUAUUCAUUUCAUCUCCAUCAAAAUCAGCAUUGUAGGGUGAGGUAACAGACAGAUUUAAGCGGAAUGUUGAAUAUGGCAUAAUCUUGAUUCUGUGGCCCAUAAUGGACAUCUUAUGGAGACUCGGUUGCCGAUUGAACAGGACAAAGUCUCCAUCAUUUAAAUGUCUCUCAACCUGUACCAUCAAAUAAUAGGAAUCAGGUGUCAAAAGGAAUCCAAUGCUUGAUCAUUCUCAAUUAUAUAGCUGGGAGUCUCACCUUAUAUCCAAGUUCUAGAUGCUGAUCACUACUCUUUUUCAAGUACCGGAGAUCAAGCCUCUGUCCAUCAUCCCUAAUAAUAUAUUUUGCGCCAGUUUUACCAGGAGGGGGAUGAGGUCCAUAUUCCACAAGCUCUUUCAAUCUAUUUUCAAGGUCAAUAUCUGGUUAACAAGAAUAACCAAAAAGUAUAGAGGGAUCACUAUCAAGAAAUAUGGUAAGAGUGCCUAACCUUUCGAUGUUAUAUGGAGUUACAGUUUCAGGAUAUGUAAGAUUUAAGGCAAUACUCCAAGGCACACCCAGCUGGUCGAUGUUGAUUGUUGGGUCAGGUGUAAUCACAGUCCGAGCCGAAAAAUCUACUCGCUUACCCAUCAAGUUACCUCUGAUCCUACCAUCUUUUGCCUUAAGCCUGCUACAUAUUGAUUUAAUGGGUCUGCCAGAUCUUUGGGUAGCCUGAUGUAUACAAGGAUACUUCACUUGUUAGAUAAAUGAUGUUCCAGGAACUGCAUCCACAGUCUCAAUAUACUGAAAUAAUAUAACAUACUCUUGGUUGACCAGGUAAAUCGUUAUCAAAGUAUGUAGCCACAUGGAACUGCAGCAACUGUGCAAACUCAGAGAUGAUGUGUGCAGGAGCCCCAUUCCGCUCCUGCCUCUUUAAGUUCUCAUUAUGCCUAAUGAUCAUGGCCAGUUGAUGAGUUAAAUCAUCCUGCAUAAAUUGAUUCAAUUAUUAGAUUCUCCUGCAACUUAAAAGCAGCAAUCCGAGGAACAUGCAAUUGAUUGACUUGAUCAGUUUGCAGUGAACAGAACCCGAUACACUUAUCUGACCUAAAGGAACAAUUAGGGGUAAUCUAAACACCCAUGACAUUGUAGAGAUCAAAAGGAGAAGUCAUGCCUCACUCCGAGAAGAAGUAUCCAUCAUUACAGAAGGCCUAACUGGAGGAGGAGGGAUUGGAAGAACUUGAAGAAUCAUCCAGUCAGGGCGAGCAUAUUUUGGAUUCAAGCCCAACAACUGACAAUCUUCAUCAGUAAUUCUCUUCAGUAUGCUGAGCACCUGAAACAAAAAGGAAAUAGAGAUUGUUGGGAUUAGCGCAUAAAUCAAUCUAUCACAUUAUCCAGGCUGGAAAAAAAAGUUUGAAUCCCUAUUCUCUGGCAAUUUAUGAUAUAUGAUACCUUCUCUGCAGAGAGAAGUUGUUUUCGUUCAACAGGUUCAGGCAUCUGGUCCUGGUCAUCACUUUUCUUCUUCUGAAUCUUGUAUUCAGCAACCAUUUUCAUCCCAUCUAUAGAAAUCUUUGGCUGCUGAGCACCGCAUCCACCCCUAGACUUCUUCACAGGUUCUUCCGAAUCUUGACCUCGCACAUCGAUCUCAUCACCUCCUUCACAUUUGGAUUUGUUUUUGCAGGCAUCUAAUAUCUUCUUUAAUCUAUUCUUAGGGUUUCUAAUUCUCAUUGCUUGCUUGAACUUGGGAUCGUCCUAGAAAAAUUAACAAGGGAUCAAAAUACAUUGCAAAAGAAAACGAUUGUUCCAACUUCCAAGUAACUUUAUUUCCAUUUGAAGUAUAAUAUUCAGGCAAUAAUGAAAAUAACUAACUUUUACAACAGCAACACUCCUAGGAGAUGCAUCCAGAUGAUGAAAUACCUCAAACUGCUUCUAUCUUACCAAUAUGCAUUUCUAUAAAAGUAACACAAUUAUUGAAGACAUAACAGAACCUAGAAGCCUAAAACUGGAUCGUUGCUAGUCAUAAGUCUUACUAUCCAGUCACUCUUGCAAGUAAUAAGAAUGUUACAAUUAAAUCAGUUGCCCAGUUCAGGAUGGUCAUGAAUAAGACAGAAGUCUGACCCUCCUAGUAUACGAACAUAUACAUGAAAUAAGCAUUUUCCGUGAAUCCAGCAUAUGUUAUACACUUCUGAAAAAUUCAGUCUGCUACUCAGGCCUCACAACAGCGGAAUCAAUAGUCAUACCCAAUAUGAACCAAGUGAGCAUGACUGUACAAAUUCAUACUACUUAAACCGAAAACGUCCAUAACUUCAAUCUAACUACUCGGGAAAUGUACAAUACCUCAUCCGCUAAAAUCUUAGAGCAAUUGAAGCAGACACUGCGGAGAAUACUGAGCACAGUCUUCAUGAAGCCAAUGUGAAACAUAGGUUUGGCGAGCUCAAGGUGACCGAAGUGACCGGGGCAGUCAGCCAUGUUCGCCAUACAAGUCUCGCACUUCAUCUUCCGAUCAAUCGUCCCCAGACGCGGGUCGCUCAAACCACCGAUCUUCGGCUUGCCUCUUUCCGUCGUCUCGCUGUGCUCUAUAUGCACAACAGACAUUUGUCUCUACAAAACACACCAUAAAACAAUAGACCAUCAUUUCCAACUCAAUCACACACUCAAUGCCGAAACUGAAAGUUCAAAACAUUCAAAGAAGUGAGAAUUACGAUCUCAUCGGGGCUGAGAAUGCCGAAUUGGACGACGCGGACUUUCGCGACCUCUGCCGGCGAGAAGGGGAACCGCAGAUCCAUUGCGACACCGGAGAUUCUACCCUAGGGUUUUCGAUUAUGAUUUAUUAUGCUAGCUGAUAUAUAAUAAUUCCAAAAUUAGAAACAAAUAUGGUUUUCAAGUACUUCAAAUUAUUCGCGGUUUCUGUUAAGUAACUGAUUUUUGGGGUUUUUGAAGAAAACUUUUUUCACGCUGCGCUCUUCUCUGAAGGAGGAGAGGCGGCUUUGAGACCAAAGAAGAGAAUGAGGGGUUGAAGGGGUAUUUAAAGAGAUGGAUGGCUUCGAAGUCGGCGCUUAAUGGGGUUGUUUGGCUACACAGUUAUGAGCUGGACAUCUUCCUCUCGUUUGGUCCAUCUAUUAAAAAAUCUUCUUAAUCUAUUUUUAAACAUAAUUUCAUCAACUAUUAUCCUUAUAAUUUUCAUUUUUUGUAAGACUCAUUUUUCACUUAUCAAGUAUACAAUUAAUUUUUAUUAAAAUUCAUGUCACCCUCCUUUAUAAAGAUCUUUGAGAAAUGAAGGGAGUGUUAAUUCCAAAUAUUUGGUAAAAUAAGUACAUAAAUACUCAUUUCGUCCCAACUUUUAGUAUCAAUUUAAGAAUGACACGUGUUUUAAUAAAGUUGUUAAGUGUGUUGUGAGUGGAAUAAGGGUCUCGCAUUUUACGUGAAUGUUAAAAUAAUUAAAGUGGAGUAAGGGUCUCACCUACUUUUACUAAAAAUAAAAAUGAAUAUCAAAAUAUGGAACGGCCAAAAAAGGAAAUAUGAAUACUAAAAGUUGGGACGAAGAUAGUAGUUUACAAGCUCUACAAAUAAGUUUCUACAAUUUAUAAGCUUUUCAAACUACAAACUUUUUACCAUAAAUUACUUUUUCAUAAUUUUAUACUUCCUUCAUCCCAAUUCNCUUAUAAUUUUUCAUUUUUUUGUAAGACUCAUUUUUUCACUUAUCAAGUAUACAAUUAAUUUUUAUUAAAAUUCAUGUCACCCUCCUUUAUAAAGAUCUUUGAGAAAUGAAGGGAGUGUUAAUUCCAAAUAUUUGGUAAAAUAAGUACAUAAAUACUCAUUUCGUCCCAACUUUUAGUAUCAAUUUAAGAAUGACACGUGUUUUAAUAAAGUUGUUAAGUGUGUUGUGAGUGGAAUAAGGGUCUCGCAUUUUACGUGAAUGUUAAAAUAAUUAAAGUGGAGUAAGGGUCUCACCUACUUUUACUAAAAAUAAAAAUGAAUAUCAAAAUAUGGAACGGCCAAAAAAGGAAAUAUGAAUACUAAAAGUUGGGACGAAGAUAGUAGUUUACAAGCUCUACAAAUAAGUUUCUACAAUUUAUAAGCUUUUCAAACUACAAACUUUUUACCAUAAAUUACUUUUUCAUAAUUUUAUACUUCCUUCAUCCCAAUUCAAUAGGCCACAAGACAAGGCUUGGACAUGGAUAUUAAGAAGCGAAUAGUUUAUAAUAAAAUACGAGAGAGAAAGUAGCUUUUUUUAGAGUAAAUUUGUGAAAAAAGUAGGAGAGAGUAGAGAUAAUUUUGUGGGAUCACAAUGAUAUUUGAUGUACAUAAUGAGUUGUGCGAAGGUGUUUGUUAUAUACUAUGAUUUUUUAUUUUAGGAAGUGACCUAUUGAAUUGGAACGUCCAAAUAAGGAUUCAUGACAUAUUUAAAUGGAACUGAGGGAGUAAUAUAUUUUACAAAAAUUAUUCAAUUAUACUUUAUUACUAUUUUCAUCAUAUACACUUUAAACCACUUUGCAAAAAUUAACUCAAUCAUAUAAAUACUUUCACAACUUAUAAGCUCUUACAAAAAUACAUUUUUAAAAUUUUUGAAACAUUUUAUAAAUUGCUACAAUUAUAAAUUUCUUAAAAUAAGCUUAUCCAAACAUCCCCUUAAUUCUACAACAAAAUUUUAACAAAUGGAGUAUAAAUGAGCUAUGAUUGGUAACAUAUUUUUCCUACAAAAAUAAUAAGCGAUAGGUAACAUAACUAGCGUGGGAACUAAGAAUCAAUCUGGUCUAUUAAUUUGAUUAAAUGAUCAUGAUUGAUUUCCAUAUUGAACAAUACAUAUAUAUGAUAAUGCAUCAGUUUAUGCCAGAAAUUAUGCCAUGCUGAUAAAUAAUACUCCAUUCGUCCCAAACGAAAUGUCCUAUUUCUUUUCGGUACGGAAAUUAAGAAAUGUGUAUAAAAUAGAUUAAGUGGGUUGGUGAAAAUUAUUUAAAUAUUAAGUAUAGAGAGAGAGUGUAGUGCCAAAAAAGGAAACAUGACAUUUCGUUUGAGAUAGCCCAAAAAGGAAAACAGUACAUUUCGUUUGGAACGGAGGGAGUAUAGUGCAUACUUAUAAUAAACAACGUAGUUUUAAGUGUGGUGCCCACUUCGGGGGAGCUUGUUGGAUUUAUAAUAAACGACGUAGUUUUCAUAUAUACAAAAAAUCCUCUUCCAUUGAGAUGGUUUCUUACAUUCUUGGCUUCAGCUGCGCAUGGCUUAUCUAUGCAUGCAUUAUUUUAGUUAUAAGCAAUUUAGUAAAUAAAAUAACAAAAUGGAUGGAUUAACAUUGCCACAAAACAUGAUGACACUAUUAGUAUUUUACUUCAAAGGGGAAGAAAAAAAAACUUUAUACGAAUGAAAGAAUGCCAUGUUAAACAAUCUCUCUUAGCCAAAUUGGAAAGCUAUGAGACCAAACAAAUGGACUACAAAUUAAAAAAGAGGUUAUAAAGUGACACGGGACUUAUACGCCACGUGCGGAGUUCAGCUGCCCGACUGCCGGAGUUCAGCUGCCCGACUGCCGGCCUGGUAUGAAAAUGAUUGGGUUAGGGUAGGGUGUCCCAUGCAACAAAUCCUCAUUCCACCUUCCCUUUGUCAGUUUCAUUUACCACACUAAGCCAUGUAAACAAUACCAACACAAUCACAAAAUCAGCAAAUCUAUUCGAACUCGCUUGGCCUAUGGUGAAAGCAGGAUGGAAAAGAAAGCAAAAUAAGCAAAGGUAAAUAUACCUGCUUGGACUGGAAGGAGAAAAAGAUGGUGAUGUUGGGCUGCAAAACCACAGAAAAUAAUAUGUCAAGGUAGCAUUUGAAAGAGAGUUUCACCAGUUCAGAAUAUAUCCUAGUCUUGUCGGGGAAAUAAAACAAAAAGAGUAAUACUCUAGGGAACAAUUUAUCCAGCUUCCUCUGUGGACAAUCAAGUAUAGAAACAGAGUAAUACAUUUAACCAAGGUUAUAUUUGUUAGCAAACUUGAAGAGCAAAAAUUAAAAUAAGGCUUGCCAAAAGUUACCUGAGACUCGGAGAAUAUGGACUGUACGGACUUGAAGGUGUGAUUUUUGGACUUGUAGGUGAAUAUGCUUGUGAAGGGCUAUACCUUGCUGAAGGAUUGUAACUUGGUGAGGUCAGACUGUAAGUCGGUGAGGUGGGACUGUAUCCAGGUGAAGUUGGGCUGUAGGCAGGAGAGGUAGGGCUGUAUGAAGGUGAGGUUGGGCUGUACGAUGGAGAGGUUGGGCUGUAAGAUGGUGAGGUUGGGCUGUAAGAGGGAGACGUGGGGCUGUAAGCCGGAGAAGUUGGGUUAUAAGCAGGUGAGGUUGGGCUGUAAGAGGGAGACGUGGGGCUGUAAGCCGGAGAAGUUGGGCUAUACGCAGGUGAGGUUGGGCUGUAUGCUGGAGAAGUUGGGCUGUAGCUCGGAGAUGUAGGGCUGUAGCUCGGAGAUGUGGGGCUAUAGCUAGGAGAUGUUGGGCUGUAGGAAGGAGACGUUGGUGAAUAAGAUGGGCUUGUGGGAGAAUAGGCAGGGCUUGUAGGACUAUAUCCAGGAGAACUAGGACUAUAUGUUGGGGACGUAGGGCUGUAACCAGGGGAAGUAGGACUGUACCCAGGUGAGGUGGGGCUGUAUCCAGGAGAUGACGGGCUGUACCCUGGAGACGAUGUAGGAGAAAACGCCAUCCCGCCCACAUACGGAGAAAACUGAGCAUCUGAAACAGGAGAUAACCGAAGAUUUGGGCUCAGCAUAUAAUUUGGUGACAUCAUGCCAUCAUGAUAUGGGGUCCCUGAGAUGGGUGAACGGCCAGGAGUCAUGCCAAACUCCAGUCCACCUUCCAUAUAACUGGGCAGAGGGAUCUCCAUAGCUUGUUUUAGCAUCUCUUCAUUCAUAUACAAAGCACAAUCACCUGUGCCAAUAGGUGCAAGCUGUCCUAACAUGAUAUUCUCAGUGACACCCCUGAGGUAAUCUGUUUCUGCAUACACAGCAGCAUCAAGAAGAAUGUCCACUGUUUCUUCAAAGGAGCAUCUCAUCAUGGGGCCAGUAUCAUUGCGAUUGAUACCAUGACGGGUGAUGGCCAUCAAGUGACCACGAUAUGUCAUGGUAUCACACAAUAUAGCCAAAUGUCUAUAGUUCACGUAAGACCCAUCAAAGAUAUACAACACGCAACUCAUCAGCAAGGCUUUGCGAACUGCCUCAAUGCCAAGAACUUCAAUAACUUCAAUCAAUGAUUGCUUGUUGUCCUACUUGCAUCUACAUCUUCAUGGCAAAUUACAGCUAAAAGAUUAACACCUUCUGUGUCAGCAUCCACUCAUUCUCAGCCUUGAAGCCUUCAUUUUCAUCAAACUUAUUUACCUUGCCAUUCUUUAUGAACACCUUAUUGAUAUCUGGUAUGCCUCGAAGAGCCAUUUCUGUAAGCAUGUUACCCUCAAUCUUUUUGAGGAAGACAUCAUCCUCAGCGAUUCAUCAUCACUCCUUAGGGUCUUCUCAUUCUAAUACGAAUACGAAGGAUAAGCUUUUCAGCAUUAUCAUCAUUAAAUGCAAGAUACAUCAAAUCAAUUAAUCUUAUGGAAAAUAUCAGCCAUGUUGAGUUUCUUAUCCACCAUCAUUUCUCUGUUUAACUCUAUGCGAAGCAACCACGGAGAGAUCUGUCGGGGUCAACAUCUCAUCUGGCAUCUCAAAGUAGGACGUCACAAUUCAAUAUCUUCCUCAAUAAUAGUGCUCUUAAGAUCUGGAUCGUACCAUACCUCUGUUGCUUGUGUUACACUCCGCAAGGUUGUAUACUCCAGAGCGCACUGGACAUUUUUGGCAUUCUCCUUAGUUUUUCUUACACCAGGCUUCAAGUAUACCGAGAGAGAGGGUGUUUUAAUAUUCUUAGCAACAUUAAUAAUCUCCCUCAACCUUGGAACACCUAAAGUAACAUUCUUGGCACUCACACCAGCAUAGUGAAAUGUAUUGAG
rnacentral:lncRNA from 1 species